rnacentral:lncRNA from 1 species
CAUCCUUAUUUUAUAUUAUUACGAGAAUCAUUAAAUUCAAGAUCCUAAGAUGGUAUUUCACCGAUCAUAAGGAAUUUCUUACAAUAUGCCCUUUCCCUUAAUCACAAUUACAAACACAUAUUCCUAUUUUAAGACAAAUGCAAACUCCCUUUCCUCCUUUGGACUUGCAAGGUCCUACACAGUCUUUGUCAAUUUUGCAUUGGGAUUCUUGAGCUUGUACAGUCAAACCUGAAAGUUAAACAUAUUCUUUAAGGAAAAUAUAGUUUUCAAAAUUCAAUCUAACUAUCAUCAUUGAGCAUAAGUUUCACAAAUCUAUUUGACUCAACAAAUGAAAACAAUAACUUAUAAUAUAUAAACUAAUAAUUUUAAGAAUAUACUUGUUCUCUUUAUUGUCUGCAUUAUUCAUGAUUACAAUGUAUGCUUUUUGUGGUAUGAAUAAAUCAUUGCAUUGUAACGAAGGAAGAUAAUAGAAGAAGAAGGGAGGAGGGUUACCAUAUGCAAUCAAAAACAAGAAUACAAAGAGAGCCACUUGAAAUGAUGAUUUCUUCAUACUUUUCCACUCUUGAAUUAUGAUAAUAUGGUUGCAAAUAGUUUUUCUUUUCUACGAGUGAUU